rnacentral:rRNA from 1 species
AGUGAACGCUGGCGGUAGGCCUAACACAUGCAAGUCGAACGGCAGCACAGUAAGAGCUUGCUCUUACGGGUGGCGAGUGGCGGACGGGUGAGGAAUACAUCGGAAUCUACUUUUUCGUGGGGGAUAACGUGGGGAAACUUACGCUAAUACCGCAUACGACCUACGGGUGAAAGCAGGGGAUCUUCGGACCUUGCGCGAUUGAUUGAGCCGAUGUCGGAUUAGCUAGUUGGCGGGGUAAAGGCCCACCAAGGCGACGAUCCGUAGCUGGUCUGAGAGGAUGAUCAGCCACACUGGAACUGAGACACGGUCCAGACUCCUACGGGAGGCAGCAGUGGGGAAUACUGGACAAUGGGCGCAAGCCUGAUCCAGCCAUACCGCGUGGGUGAAGAAGGCCUUCGGGUUGUAAAGCCCUUUUGUUGGGAAAGAAAAGCAGCAGGUUAAUACCCCGCUGUUCUGACGGUACCCAAAGAAUAAGCACCGGCUAACUUCGUG